GACGAACGCUGGCGGCGCGCUUAACACAUGCAAGUCGAACGGAAAGGCCUGCUUUCCCUUGUGGAUUGCGGGUACUCGAGUGGCGAACCGGUGAGUAACACGUGAGUGAUCUGCCCCCAACUUGGGUAUAAGCCUGGGAAACUGGGUCUAAUUCCCGAUAGGACUGCAGGGUGGUGCCUGUGGUGGAAAACGAUUUUCUAGUGGUUGGGGAUGAGCUCGCGGCCUAUCAGCUUGUUGGUGGGGUAAUGGCCUACCAAGGCGGCGACGGGUAGCCGGCCUGAGAGGGUGGACGGCCACAUUGGGACUGAGAUACGGCCCAGACUCCUACGGGAGGCAGCAGUGGGGAAUAUUGCACAAUGGGCGGAAGCCUGAUGCAGCGACGCCGCGUGGGGGAUGACGGCCUUCGGGUUGUAAACUCCUUUCGACCGCGAGGAAGCCACCUGGUUGGAAGGGUGGUGACGGUAGUGGUAGAAGAAGCACCGGCUAACUACGUG
rnacentral:rRNA from 1 species